CCUACGGGCAGCUGCAGUGGGGAAUAUUGGACAAUGGGCGAAAGCCUGAUCCAGCCAUGCCGCGUGUGUGAAGAAGGCCUUCGGGUUGUAAAGCACUUUCAGUGGGGAAGAAAGCCUUGGGGCUAAUACCCUCGAGGAAGGACAUCACCCACAGAAGAAGCACCGGCUAACUCCGUGCCAGCAGCCGCGGUAAUACGGAGGGUGCGAGCGUUAAUCGGAAUUACUGGGCGUAAAGCGCGCGUAGGCGGUCUGAUAAGCCGGUUGUGAAAGCCCCGGGCUCAACCUGGGAACGGCAUCCGGAACUGUCAGGCUAGAGUGCAGGAGAGGAAGGUAGAAUUCCCGGUGUAGCGGUGAAAUGCGUAGAGAUCGGGAGGAAUACCAGUGGCGAAGGCGGCCUUCUGGACUGACACUGACGCUGAGGUGCGAAAGCGUGGGUAGCAAACAGGAUUAGAUACCCUGGUAGUC
rnacentral:rRNA from 1 species